GGGACACGUGGUAUCCUGUCUGAAUAUGGGGGGACCAUCCUCCAAGGCUAAAUACUCCUGACUGACCGAUAGUGAACCAGUACCGUGAGGGAAAGGCGAAAAGAACCCCGGCGAGGGGAGUGAAAAAGAACCUGAAACCGUGUACGUACAAGCAGUGGGAGCCUCUUAAUGGGGUGACUGCGUACCUUUUGUAUAAUGGGUCAGCGACUUAUAUUCUGUAGCAAGGUUAACCGAAUAGGGGAGCCGAAGGGAAACCGAGUCUUAACUGGGCGUUAAGUUGCAGGGUAUAGACCCGAAACCCGGUGAUCUAGCCAUGGGCAGGUUGAAGGUUGGGUAACACUAACUGGAGGACCGAACCGACUAAUGUUGAAAAAUUAGCGGAUGACUUGUGGCUGGGGGUGAAAGGCCAAUCAAACCGGGAGAUAGCUGGUUCUCCCCGAAAGCUAUUUAGGUAGCGCCUCGUGAAUUCAUCUCCGGGGGUAGAGCACUGUUUCGGCAAGGGGGUCAUCCCGACUUACCAACCCGAUGCAAACUGCGAAUACCGGAGAAUGUUAUCACGGGAGACACACGGCGGGUGCUAACGUCCGUCGUGAAGAGGGAAACAACCCAGACCGCCAGCUAAGGUCCCAAAGUCAUGGUUAAGUGGGAAACGAUGUGGGAAGGCCCAGACAGCCAGGAUGUUGGCUUAGAAGCAGCCAUCAUUUAAAGAAAGCGUAAUAGCUCACUGGUCGAGUCGGCCUGCGCGGAAGAUGUAACGGGGCUAA
rnacentral:rRNA from 1 species